ensembl:lncRNA
GUAUGUGGCAUGAGCAAAAACCCACCACUGUUCUGUCUGCCAUGAGUCAAAUCCAUCAGGCUAUUAUCAAAUCAGUGCAAACUCACCAUGGAGAUGCACACAACACUUCACAAUGAGAAACAGCCAGUGGAGUUGGCUCUGCAUGGAUACGCUGAGCUGAAUUUGGAGCAAACACCAGCCCCUGUGCUGUAUGUAAUUAGAAGAUGCUUCCGGUGGGUGAGAUGCUGGAGGAGUGCUUUGGCCAUGUCAAACCGCAGUCUCUCUCCAGAUUCAAAUCCACAACACCAUCAACUUUAGAGCGCUCUUGGAGAGAAGCCACAGGAACUGCUCCAUGUUACCCUCAGCACUGUAAGCCACUGUGUCAAACCCAUCUAUGGGGGUUGCUUUUGAGAUGUUUGUCCUUCACUUUCGGAGCUGCAAAGGCUUCAUUUGGUACCUGGCACUACUCCCAUGGAAGUCAACUGGAAGAGGCCAACAGACUUCCCUGAAAGUUGUAGUUUCCAUGGAAAUAAAUAAGAGGCAUUACUUUCGGAGCGACCUACAUGUUAUUGAGACCCGGUUCCAUGGAACGCAUUAUCGGGAAGGACUUAAUGAUGACACAACAGGUAAAGGGAGAAUUUAUUUGCUCAAGGUUACUCACAUGAAGUCAUAUACAAUUUCUGUUUCUCUUAACCCAGGCAUUUUGAGAAUGGUGCAUGCCUCCUAUCCUACCCACAGCACUGCGUGAGGAACCACGAUGGGAAAUGCAGCCAGAACACACCAUUUUGCUGCCCUGGGUCCCCCAGUCCGUGCUCCUCACCUGUUGCAGGCAAUGUGGGUUCCCUCACAGGGCUGCAGAGCGAUCAGAGGGGCUGCAUCACUGCCCUGCAUGCUGCAAAAUAAAUCCACGUCAGUGCAUAAAGGGGGAGAGAAAGGAAACGCCGGGUCCCUUCCCUCCGUAUUUUCCGUGUUUUAUAACACCUCUGUCAGCACACAUUGCCAUUCACUGCAGAAAUUACAUCUCACGAGCGCUACAAUAAGGAUUUGAAGACAAAUGACACGCGAGCACCACAGCUCUGUGCCGGCUUAAGCGAUCCCAAUACCUUCAUCACAUACGGGGUAUCGGGAUGCACGCAGCCCACUUGUUCCAAAUGCCACACGGCAAAGAUUGAGCGUCACAGGACUCCGGGCGGCACGAAACCAGCCCGGACAGAAUGUGUUUUAAAUGCAGGAGGGCUUUCAGACCGCGGGGUGCAAUGAUGGCACCUAACCCUAACCCUAACCCUAACCCUAACCCUAACCGCUACCUCCCUCCAGCCCCGUUUCCAAAACUCCUGAAGGUUGGUGAGGUUUUCGAGUGCCCUCGUGCCCAGGCUGUAACAUUCCCAUCCGCCAUACAGCUCCUGUGCUUUCAAGUUGCAAGAGGUGAAAACAUUUUAGCUUUUCGGGCGGGUAAACACCUCCCUGUGAAACAAUGUAAGCGAGGCGGGAUGCCGCCCAGGUGCACAGGGGAUAAAGGAGAACAGGGGGGGAUUGCUUACACAGGGGCAAAACUCACCCUGGGGGCCAUAGGGCACAGAUUGGGAUGCUGGGAAAGGGACUCCGUGACGGUGCUGUGAUUGAAACCCUGGGCAGCCUGGUCUAGUAUUAAAUGGGGAGGUUGGUGGCCCUGCAUGCAGCAGGGGGGUUGGAGAUUCAUGAUCCUUGAGGUCCCUUCCAACCCAGGCCAUUCUGUGAUUCUGUGUGUGAUUCUGUGACUGGGGAGCCCGACUGGAGGGCUGCGCUUCUCUUGGUCAGAGCUGAACAUGAAGGAUGGAUACUGACGGAUGCCAGCAUGUUUAUAUUUCACUGUCCCGCCCGUUCCUCCAUUCUUCAGCUGUUUCAGAGCUUGUCCUUCAACAAAACAAGCAGCCCUGUAGGAGAUGUUGGCUCACGUUUGGUCUUCCCUUGAAGCUGUGACAUUCCCUGAGCAUCAGCCAGGAACCCCUCUCUCCCCACUGCACCCAUCUCCAGUCCCACUGCACCCCCGUGCAGUCACAGAAUCACAGAAUGGUAGAACCAUUAAGGACCAAAAGACCUCUAAGACCAUCUUGUCCAACCAUCAACCCACCCCACCAUGCCCACUAUGUCUCCCAGUGCCACAUCUCCAUGGCUCUUGAUGUCCUCCAUGGUCAGUGACCCCACUGCCUCCAUGGGCAGACUGUGCCAAUGCAGGGAGCAGGGCUCAGCCCCCCGCUCUGCCCUCUCACAAACACAUCAUCUCCAUCUCAUCUCCC